rnacentral:rRNA from 1 species
UACAGAAGGGGCGAGCGUUAUUCGGAAUUAUUGGGCGUAAAGGGCGCGUAGGCGGCUUUUCAAGUGACGGGUGAAAUCCCUCGGCUUAACCGAGGAACUGCCUGUCAGACUGGAAGGCUUGAGACCGGGAGAGGUGAGUGGAAUUCCCAGUGUAGCGGUGAAAUGCGUAGAUAUUGGGAGGAACACCAGUGGCGAAGGCGGCUCACUGGACCGGAACUGACGCUGAGGCGCGAAAGCGUGGGGAGCAAACAGG